GCAAAAACUCUUGCGUUAAAAAUAUUUGUGCAAAAUCUUCCCAAUGUAGACAUAGCCAUGGCGUAUUCAGCUCCCUGGGAACUGGGUCAUGAAGGACAGUGCAGAGAGGAGGGAGCUGAGUGAGUGUGGAAUAAUAUUAUAUGGAUUGUUUAUGACAAGCCUAUGCCACUGAAACUGAAAACUCAUCUGUUUACCUUCAUACUGUGUAGUGAAGAACCAUGGGUGAUACAGACAACAGGUUCAGUCCCUAAAGAUGUUUGAGGUAAGAUGUCCUUGUGCCAUAAGGAGUGACAUGGUGAGAUGGAUUUAAUAAUAAAAGCAUAAAGUAUGGAUAUCAAAGUCCAUGAUGUGGAUGACAAAAUCCGGGAAGUCUGACUUCAUUUAUUUGGAUAUGCGCAGAGGCUGAAUGAAGGGGACCUGUGGGCAAAGCAAAGGAGGAGAUGGUGGAUGGAAAGAGAAGCUGAGGAAGCAAUGACAUUGGUUCCCCAUUCCUGGCUUAGGACAUCGCACAUUGCAGCAGAGCUAUUUAUACAAUUACUAGCAGAGGACGAAGACUCGGAUGUGGAUGACCAUGUGAGUGAUGGGGACAGCACCGAAUUGGCAUUGAAUUAGGAUUUCACAGAUCAGUUGUGCAUGGAUUUAUUGUAAAUCUAAGGAAACGUAUGCCAAUGGUCAGAAUAACUGCAGAAAAUUUCAGCAAAAUUCCAGAGAUCUAUUUUGAAAUUCUACAGCAUCAAUUGAACAUGUUGUUGUGCAUUCCCUAUCUUCAUCCGCUGUUAUAAGAUUUACCUAGUAGACUCUAAAUGUAUAAUUGAGAAACAUCACGGUAGAUGUAACUUACACUAUCCAGAAGAAACAACAGAGACAGAGGAGACAUGAAAGGAUAAUUUUGCUUAUACAAAAUAGCAGCCUGAAAAAUAAAAACAAACAAGCAGAUGGAGAAAGCAAAGACUGCAAUACACAGCUGUUAGAAGUAUUUAGAUACCCAGAUGCAGAACAGUUCAAGGGUGGGGGCUGGGAGUUGGGGGAAAGCGUAAUUAGAGUUGAUGGAAGCAUUUUAUUAAUAUUAUAGUGUAUAUUGACGAUGCAAUUUUCAAAGAAGCCUAUGGAGUUAGGUGACCAGUUCCCUGUGACUUUCAAUUGGAAACAUAGGCUUAUCUGAAAAUCCCAGCCUGAAUUCCUGGCUCCUUAUAAAAUGGAAUUUCUUAGUGUCCACACUGGCACAGAAUGAUGAAAGAUGAAAAAGGUACUAAAGAUGGAGUUAAAAAGAUUUGUCAGUAGCUGUUCAUCCUUUUUUCCCCGGUCUAAAUUAAAAAUAAUGCUUUAUAGUAACAAGUUAGAGUAGAGAAAAUUGUUUUUCAAAGCUACAAUUCAUAAUGACAAUUCAUACUUAUACCACAUAGUGCAUUUCAUCUAAGAGUUAAUAUCCUUGGUGAAUAUUAAGCAUCACAGUGUCCUUCAGUCUAAGAGACCAAAUGGUACUUUUGGUCUAUCAUUAGUCCAAAUAACCCUUCCCCCCUUACUUUGUCCAGUAUGAUUUAACAGAGAAUUGGGGAUGUGGUGCUUCUUUUGCUUUUUUGCAUCAGUCUUAAAUUAUAAAGUUCUCCUUCUCCAAACAUUUGAUAUGAUAGAGUCUGUUCAGCUAAAAUGAGUCCCAGAAUGGAGUUUGUAUUCCUGUGUCAUUCACCUUCCUGAUUUUCAGAAUCCCUCCUUAAGCUAGCAGAGCUCACACCCUGCACACACAGUCCCGCACACACAAAAAAGAAUGGCCACGUCAGAAUAAACCCUAAAUAAUUCUGCUGGCUUUUCAUUCAUUUCAGGGGCCCAUUCAAAAUGAUCAUGCUCUUUGAAAAGCUCUUUACAGCUGCCCACUCUCACUGUACUUCUCUCUGAAUUCUCUUUUGUUCAUUUAGCACUUUCUCUGCUCUCCUCUGUCCUUCUGUGUCAUCAGGCUACCUCUUAUAUUAAAGCCUUCUCUUGGACUCUACCAGCUACAGACACAAGGGCCCUUGGCCUGCUUCUGCUCCUCCAUGACUAUGUCAGAAAUACGACCUUUCUUAUGUGCAAUAAAUAACAUUUUAAACAAGCCUUAAACUUACUGCAUCCUUGGAGAAAAACUUCCUAUCCCACACAAGGAAUUUCAGAGGCUAAAUAACUAAGAAAUGAUAGUGGGGUGCAGCUAAGCCUGAGCAAUCGAAAUGUGCCUGAACUAGAGACCAGUGAGAACAUCAAACCUGAACAUGUGUAUUGUAAUAGUUGGCAUUUCUUUACUGAGGAAAAACUGUCAAGUGUCAGGAAUAUGACUUUCACAAAUGGUGAUUUUUAUAAGCAAGGCAAAGAAACACAUUCAGACAAUGCAAAUGUGUUUUGUUUUUGUUUUUUAAUACUAAGGAGAAAAGCUCUGGCAUAUGUCAAAAGAUGUGAAGACUGCCUCAACAGGAGUUCUGUUUAUAGAUCAAGAGCAGUCAGAAUAUAAAUCCUCCAUUAAUUUUGCACACCUAAAAUUCCACGUUGACUACAACAACGAUAUUAAGUUUUCAUAUUUCGUAGGAAUGCAUCACAAUCUUCCUAUUGGUGUUUUGAACCUAAGUAUCAGUUCUGAUUCUGACUUCAGGCAGAGUUCUGAGGGCAUGUCAGAGGCUGAUCUUCUGGUGUUUGAUUUAACGGGUCUAGUAUAGAUCCAUAAAUCAAAACUAAGGGCAACUCCUGCCGGUGUCAGGAGUAAGGGAAGGAGUAAGGGAAGCCAACAGGAGCAUUUUCCCCUCUGGCCUCUAGUAGUGUGUUUGCCACCAAAGCUCAGCUUAAGGUAAGCCGGCUCAAGCUAUGCAUUUUACGUAGCUGGAGUUGUGCACUUUAAGUUGAUCUUCCUGGUCUAGUGUAGACCAGGCUUGAGCAUGUAAAGAACAUGGGAUAAACCCUGAAACCUUGAUCAAGCCCUUGGAUACUGUUCCACACCUAACUGGGGCUGAUUGACCAUUGUGUGUGCUCUAGUUUUAAAUAGAGAGAUUCCAAUAAAGUUAGUGGACUCACACCAUCAUAAAAUGGGUGUAUUACAGUGGAAGAUUAAUUUGAUAGGACUACUCUUAUGAGAAAUGUAUAAAAUCAGACUUUAAGCUGUAAAUUUCAAGGCUGAUGUUAUCAGUCUUUCUGAAUCCAAGGACAAUAUCUUAAACAUUUCAGCCCUCUAGAGGUAGUUGCAACAUUGAUCUUCUCCUCACCCAUGUUAUGAAAUGAAUCAUACUUUCAUGUUUCUGGGAGACUGUUGCACAAAGAAAAGGAAUGACUAUGAACUGUGCUCUUUUUUCCUUGCAUCAAAGAAUUAAGGCUAAACCAAAAAGCCUCUGAACAAGGAGCCAAAGAUUAUACCAUUAGCUGUUGGAGAGAACAAAUCCACUCAGGAUAAAAAUAUAUUGAGCAAAGUUGCUUUUUUUUAAAAUUGGAAAUUCAGAUAAAAUCCUCUGUAUCUCACAUUUUUUUUUCUGUGUUUCCUGUCAGUGCUAUAACAAACCUUUUUGGCUAGCAAACAAGAUUUCUUUGUUGCAGUGCAACUUCGUGCAUGAUUCACUUUUUUCUUAGAAGAAGUUUCAAGCCAAAUAUUGUUUUCGGAAUCUUUUUUCCCUACUUUCCCUUCCCUUCCCAAAUCCUUCUUCCUGAGGGAUAUCCUUGUUCAUGGUAGCCUGCUGUAAACAAAAGAAAGAUGAUAUCAAAGUAAUUGCUUGAAAUAUAAUGACAGGUUUCUUGUACAACAUUUUAGCAAUGCCUUUGCCUGAACAUAGUAUAUUUGCACAGUUAGAAUGCUUGGAAACUAAACAGCCAUUAAAGGAAAGAAACAAAAAAGCCAAACAUAGUACAAAAUAAAAAUAAGACUUAAGCAAAUAAUUGAAUGUCUCUUUAAAUGUAUGGUGCAUAUGUGCACCCCAGCUUAUACUAGCUAUUGCCUGGAUCAGGCAUUUGUAUCUUGGCAGAAAUCUAUACACAUGCUAUCACACACUUUUUUUGGUGUGUUCUUCCAAGAAUGUCCUGAGGGCUGUUUUGAGGCCUCUUGGCCAUUAGUUAAUGUGCAGUCUAUUUAUCUUGAUUCAUCCUUGCCACACUGUUUUCUCAUUCCAUUUUAUUUCUAUUGACGUUUUACAUUAAAAUAGGUACUUCUCCCUACACAACUGUUCUUGUAUCUUAUGAAGUUGCCUGCCACUCAUCUGCUCUGAUCUUAAGUAACCCACCAAUCCCCUUCUCACACAAGACUAUUCAGGUUUUCUCCCAUUCUGGUCUUCACACAUGGCAUGUCCACCCUGGACUACUGCAGGAAACAAUGAGUUUCAGAAAGGAUGUGUCUGUCUUGUUUGUGAAUCUCUUGGCCCUGGUCUAUACUAGGAAGUUAUUUUGAAAUAACUCCCCUUAUUUCAAAAUAACAAAGGGA